UCUUCACUCUUAGAUUCUGGUGUCGGGAAGGCGGUGAAACUCCGUCACUACCCCGUAACUGUAAGCGCCGAGAGCACGAACAAGCCGCAAGGCAAACCACUGAGCCCGAAGGGCUUGGGAAGGUCGUUCAAGACUCGCUGAAGCGCAAGUCAGGAGACCGGCCAGAUCAGCUUUCGGCCC
rnacentral:ncRNA from 2 species